rnacentral:rRNA from 1 species
GAUGAACGCUGGCGGCGUGCUUAACACAUGCAAGUCGAACGGUCGUAGCAAUACGAUAGUGGCGCACGGGUGAGGAACACGUAGCUAACCUGCCCCCAAGUACGGGAUAACUUCCCGAAAGGGAUGCUAAUACCGUAUAAGCUCACGCCGAGUAGGUAGGUGUGAGAAAAGGUUUACUGCUUGGGGAGGGGGCUGCGGCCCAUCAGGUAGUUGGUGAGGUAACGGCUCACCAAGCCGACGACGGGUAGGGGGUCUGAGAGGAUGGGCCCCCCCACACUGGGACUGAGACACGGCCCAGACUCCUACGGGAGGCAGCAGUGAGGGAUAUUGCGCAAUGGGGGAAACCCUGACGCAGCGACGCCGCGUGGGUGAUGAAGGCCUUCGGGUCGUAAACCCUUUGCCACUGACGAGGAAGGACGGUAGGUGGCGAAUAAGCCUCGGCUAACUACGUGCCAGCAGCCGCGGUAAU